rnacentral:lncRNA from 1 species
CGACAAAGCUGAAAACAGCGUUUACGGAAAGCUCCAAAUUGGAGCUUCUCCCCAAAAGCUGUUUUCAGCUUCCCGCAAAAACUGAAACAGUUUUUCGAAAAUUUUACCAAACACCAUUUUUUAUCUAAAAGUACUUUUGAAGGGUCAGAAAGUGCUUUUUGGCCCUCCAAAAGCUCCACCAAAGGUCCUGUUUGGGGGAGUUGUUGGUAGUAGAGCUUUUGAAAGUAGAGCUGUUGGAAGUAGAGCUGUCUGAAGCAAAAC